AUAAUGAGAGCUCCACAAUGAAAAGAGACAAUGUCCCAUCCAGCUCAGGGCGACUGCCCAGCCUCCUUUCCUCUUGUCUAGCGGCUGCCCAUUGCCUGCCAGGCGCUCCCGGGCCAGCCGGGCUUCCUGCCUGCUGUCCUGUCCAGCCCCAUCCAGCCCGGUACUCACUGCGCAAAGGACUCAUGCUGAGCCGGCGGUGCAGACGGAGCUGCAGCUGAUCGCGGACCGGGAAUUCUGAAGCCAUUGGUACAACACCAUCGUGAAGACAUUUAAAUUUUUUCAUGGUGGAAAACAGACAGAGGAAAUGGACAGAUUUCUAGAAUCAUAUGAAUUACCAAAGCUCAAUCAAGAAGAUAUAACAAUUUUGAAUAACCCAAUACCACCUGCUACUUGAAAAUGUGAUUAAAAACUUACCAACAACAACAAAAAGCUCAGGUCCUGAUGGAUUCAUGGCUGAAUUCUACAAGAAAUUUAGAGAAGUUUUAACAUCAACACUCCUCAGACUCUUCAAUGAAAUUGAAAAGGAAACAAGUCUCCCUAACUCAUUCCUGGAGGCAAGUAUUACUCUGAUACCAAAAACAGAGAAAGAUCCAACCAAAAAGGAGAACUAUAGGCCAAUCUCUCUAAUGAACAUUGAUGCAAAGAUUCGCAAUAAAAUAUUGGCAAAUAGAACACAGCAAAUCAUCAAAAAGAUUAUACAUCACAACCAAGUGGGAUUCAUUCCAGAAUGCAGGGAUGGUUUAACAUACAGCAGUCAAUAAAUGUAAUACAUCACAUCAACAGAGUCAGAAACAAAAACCAUAUGAUCAUCUCAAUAGAUGCAGAAAAAACUUUUUAUAAAGUCCAACACUUGCUCAUGGUAAAAACUACAGAAACUCGAAAUAGAUGGUAACUACCUCAAUCUGAUAAAGGCCAUCUCUAACAGACCAACAGCCAACAUUAUACUAAACGGACAAAAACUGAAAGCUUUCACUAUAAAAUCAGGAACAAAAUAAGGAUGUCCACAAUCACCACUCCUAUUCAAUAUAGUUCUGGAAAAAUUAGCCAGAGCAAUUAACAAGAGAGAGAAAUAAAAGGAAUAAGGAUAGGAAAGGAAGAAGUUAAAUUAUCACUAUUUGCAGAUAAUGAUACUCUACAUAAAAGACCCCAAAAACUCCACUAAAAUACUACUAGAGGUAAUAUACAAAUUCAGCAGUAAAGCUGGAUACAAAGUCAAUGCUUAAAAAUCAAUAGCAUUCUUGUACACAAACAACAAACUCACUGACAGAAAUUAUGGAAAUAUUGCCUUUCACAAUAGCAACUAAAAAAAUGAAAUACUUAGGAAUCAACCUAACCAAGAAUGUAAAAGUCCUAUAUGCUGAAAAUAAUACUUCUCUUAAAAAGGGGAUUGAAGAGGACAUCAAAAAAUGGAAGGAUAUUCCUUACUCUUCAUUAAGAAGAACCAACAUUGUGAAAAUGGCCAUACUGCCAAAACUGUUAUACAGAUUUAAUGCAAUCCUAAUAAAAAUACCAUUAACAUACCUUACAGACCUAGAGAAAACAUUCCUAAAAUUCAUUUGGUGACAGAAGAAAUGUAGAAUAGCAAAGGCAAUUCUGGGCAACAAAGGCAAAGUAGGAGGCAUCUCAAUUCCUGAUGAAAUUAUACUACAAAGCUACAGUGAUAAAAUCAGUAUGGUAUUAGCAAAGAAAUAGAGCUGAGGAUUAAUGGAACAGAUUAGAAGAUGCAAACACAAUUAUAAAGGCACUCAGUCACCUUAUAUUUGACAAAGAACCUAAACAUAUCCACUGGAAGAAGGAUAGCCUCUUUAAUAAAUGAUGUUGGAAAAAUUGUCUUUCUAUCUGCUGAAGACUGACACUAGAUCCAUGCCUAUCACCAUGCACUAAAGUCAAAAAAGGAUCAAAGAUCUCAAUACUAUGUACAAUACUAGCUGUAUUGUACAGAAACUGUCAACUAGUUUCCCUUGCAUGAACUUUAAAAUUUACUACUUCAUUUAAUCUAUUAAUGUGACAAAUCUGAAUUGAUGAUCACAAAUUACAUAGUAUUUAACUAAUAGCAAUUAAAAGCCAGCCACUAAAAGUGUUCUGUAUUCCUUCUUGCAACAACUAGCCAGCUAAGCAACGAACAAACCUGUAGCAAAUGGACGUUGUAAUCACUUUUUCCAAGAUAUGUAUGCACAGAAUAAAUACAAGCAAAGGCUGCAUUCUCAGUGAAAAGUGUCCUUAGUGUGUGUGAUUGACAAGAAAGAAGAUUCUGGAUUCCUAGAAAACAAUUUUUGGGGCUAUGUUGAUUCUUAUUCUGAAUGUUUACGUGAUGUACAAUAUAUUUUUGGAAGGUAUUUUUGUCUCAGUGUUUCUUUCUACAAAUGUAAUGCUUUGGUAUUUCCACAAUAUCCCUCCUUCACCAGCAGAUGGAGAGCAUUUCAACUCAGCGCUGAAUGGACCAUGUCGUGCAAGUAGUUUGUGUGGAUUUGAAACUGAAGGAUGCAUGAAGCAUUCAGAGACUUAAUACCUGGAAAAGAGAUUCUCCGUCUUUCAUAUUUUUUACAGACACUGAUAUUUGUAAACUUAAUAAACUUUAGAAGCUGCUACAUGUUUUCCAGUACAUGUUGAACAAUAAAGAUUGAGGAGUUGUUUUCUUAAGUCACCAAAAACAGCUGUUACAAAAAUGUUGAACUAAAAUUCUUUUUUUAAAUUUUUGUCUUUUUCCUUUUUAUCAGUACCGGGGAUCGAACUCACAACUGCCUGCUUGCAAGGCAGGUGCUUAUGCCGCUGAGCUAAACCUCCAGCCCCUAAAAUUCUUCAUAAAUUUUCCAUGAGUAGAUAUUAUUGUUACUGUUUUUCAAAUAGACACUUUUAGGCUCUGAAGAUAAUGUGAGGGCUACAGAUGUAGCACAGUGGUUGCCUAAUUAGUGAAAAGCGCCUCGGUUACUUUUCUGUUGUUGCUCGGUUAUGCUGGGACCCAUCAUCCAAAACGAAAGAAGGAAAGGUUAAUUUAGCUCACUGUUUGUGGAGAUUUCAGUCCGUAAUCAAUUGGCUCCAGAGCAGGGUGACAUGGCACUGGGGCGACACUUCAAGACAGCAGCAAGCAAAAGAGCAGGAGCAAAAGGGAGCAAGAGCAAGCCUCUCGGAGAGACGAGGAAACUGAGCAACAGAGAGUCUACAUCAGUCCUGAAAGGUCCUUUGCAGGAGUGAGGAAGGACUAACCCGAAGGAAAGUCAUGGGUUACUGGAGCUGUCAUCUUGCAAAGAGCCUGACUGUCACUAAAAAAAAGAUCAUCCAUCAGCCACAAAGCAAAUCUGCUCAGUUGGGUUCGGGACAAGGGUUCCUAGCUGCCAGUAGGCCAAGCAGCUGCCCUGAGCCCCUAACCAACUGCCCUUGGGCUGCGAUCUGGGAUGCUCAGGCUGCUGCACCUGGAAGUCAUGGAGCAGUUUCCCAGGCUGGUGCCAGACUGCACAGAGACACGCUCUGCUCUGGGGCUGAAGGAGCCGUCCUGCCAGGGCAGUGCCUUUUUGGCUCUGUUUAUUAUGGAGCCACGAAACAGAGAGUGCUGCAGUGGCUAUCAUUUCUGAUGGUGACCAUCCAGAUCUAAACCCUCUGCUUAGGGGUCAAGGGUCUCCCAAGCCUCUCCCAGGGACCAUGAGGAUAGGGGAGCAGAUACCAGUGGUACCCCAAGUGCAUCUUCAUUCCACACCAGUGGACUCACACAGCACAGUUGUUGGAAACAAAACCCUGGGGAUUAUAUGAAAGUAUUGGUGUUAAUUAAUGGCUUAAUAUGUGAAAGAUACACAUGCAAAUAUAAUUAUUUAAAAAUUACUGGAUUUUUGAAAUAUUAAUUCAUGCCCAGUGAGGAAGCAUAAUGAAAAAUAUUAUUACAUUCCCAAUACCAACAACAGCGGUGAAACAGCUAAAAAUAAUAUGACAAAUCUGAAAGAAGGCUGGGAUUGUACCUUAGUCAGUGGUAGAGCGCUUGUCUAGCGUGUGCAAGACCCUGAGUCUGAUUGCUAAUACUGCAAAGAGAAAAAAAGAUUAUAUGAACACAUGACAAGGUUUUAUUGUAAGAUAUAAAAGAAGACUUCAGUAGAGCCAUUCUAUCCUUGUAGAUGGAAGAAUUGAAUAUAUUAAAGCUGUCAAGUCUACCAAGCUCCCUUAUGAUAUAACUCCCAAUAAAAAUACUAGUGGUUUUUUAAAAAAAAAAAAUGUAACAAAAUCAUUCUAAAAUACAUGUGAAGAAUAAAUAGGCAAAUGUAAAUAAUAUAUAUGAGGGGAAUAGAACUAGUGGCUGAGAGGGAUUAGCUUUCCCAGAAAGUAAAGCACAACAGAAAAUAAUAGCUUUAUUAACUGUUUUCCUUUCUGGAAUAACUUAAAACAGAAUACACAGACCAGAAGCAUCCCGUGGAGUGUGUAAGGUGAUAAUGAUAAAGAUAGCAUCACGGAACUGGAAGGAGAAGAAAGAUUCUCCACUGAGUGGUGGUGGGCGGGAUGCGUUAGUGCAGGGGAUACAGAACUGUUUUGCUGAGUGUGUUUCUAUGUGCAAAGCUUUCAAAAAGAGUCAUACUUUGAAUGCCUCUCCUAAGCCUUUUUUCCCCUCCUCGCUGGAUCAGAAAGAGAGAAAUUAAUGAGCUUAGAAGAAAGUAUGUGGCUCAGGCCUCUUCUCUCUCUCUGGAAUCUGUCUGCCUGCACAGUGUGUGUGUACUGGUCAGCCCUCUGCUUGUUGUUGCCUUUGGAGAUUUGCAGGGCUCCAGCAUGGCUGGGGAUUGAUUGCAUACACAGAAAUCUGGGGGUAAGAUGUAUUGGCUAACUAUUAUAUAUAACUAAAAUUACAUGUUUUAAGCUGCUUUAAUUUAAAAGAAGGAAGACAAUUGCUAUCUAUGUUUACCCUAUUUACCUUUCAGUUUUGGGGACUGAACCCAUAGCCUCACAUUUGCUAAGCCCACAAUUUACCACUCAGCUACAUUGUCAGCCCCUAAACUUAUUCAUUGGUUUCUAAUUCAUGAAGCAUGUUAUUUGUUGGUCUACUAAAACUAUGAAAAUGGUGUAAUUGGUUGGCUGGUUGGGGAUAACUUAUAUAGUAACACAUAUGAAUAAGUGAAAAAUAAUCUUUACAAAUCUUAAACUAUGAAAAAAGAAAAACUCAGAGGCAAUACUAAGUUUCUAGAUCAGGAAAGACUCUGUAAAACAAAGAGAAAGAUACCCUAAUCGAAGCUACAUAGUUUCACAAAGACAGAGUGAAAUGACAAUUUUUCCAGCAAAAGUUAUGUAAAAUUACUGUGUGAAAUGUAUCAACAACACAAACAAUGUAGUUAAGAAAAUACAUACUUUCACAAAAAGAAAGGUACAAAUAUGUGAAAAAUAGUACAUAGAGAAGCAAUCAAAGGAAUACAAUUAAAAUAAAGUACAUUCUAUAAAGUUAAAAACGUAUCAACUAAGGGUACCUAAUCCGAGUGUGGGUAAAAUGAAAUGGUCACUGUGACUGACAGAAACAUAUGUCAGUACAACCUUUCUGAAAAUUAAUUUGAUAAAAUUUAUUGUAAUUCAUCAAACAUUUGUACCUUUUGACCCCAAUAAAUUUAAGAAUCCACCCUAAGGAAUUUUCAGAAAUGUAAAGGAAGGGUUAUGUUGUAAAGUUUUUGUUUAUUAAAAUAAAGGCAAAGAUAUAUGUAUGUCCAACAUUAGUAAAGGUUAAGUACAUUGUCAUAUAAUAAAACAUGGAGUCAUUAAGUUUACAAAGUGCUUGUUAAACUUAUCUGAGAGCAUGAAGAAAAGAAAUAAAACUUGGAACUCCUUUGUUUUAGAAAUUCCUUAAGACAGCUUAUGAGUGUAUUUAAAAUUCAGCAAGAUUGCUUAAAUUUGAAGUAGAUGAGGAGAACAGCCCAUCAAAGAAAGGACAAAAUAGCUUCAAAGAAACCAUUGGAAAAACUUAAAUAAAUUGCCAGAGUCUGAAUUUUGGUUUUGCGUGAGAUAAAAAUCUGAUUUAGGCAAAUCCAAAAAGGAAUUGGUUGGGAAGGUGACAGGAGAUAGACACAAGGACUGGUAGGCAAGACUAGACCAAAUGAGACAAUUUUGUCCUGGGUCCAUUGUCACCAGAGGGGGGAAUUCCUGAGCUUGGAAUUCAAGAGAUGCACAGCACCAUUGUUGUCUUAAACUGUCUCCCUUUCCUCAGUAAUCUAUUUCUAAAGUUUUCGAUGAUACACAUCUGCAUAGGUACAGUGCUUGUGCUCUCUGCUUUGAUUUUACAGCAAGUGUUGGACAACAUAGUAAAAGUUAGGAGUGAUAAAAAAUGAAUCGAGUGACUUUAUACCAUCCCAGAUGACAUACAUAGGAAAAAAAGAGGGUAGAAGAAGGCACCGAAUUACCUACUGUGACUGGUGUAGUGGGAUACACGACAACUUAGUUUUUGGUUACUUAUGGACAAAGGAUUCAAACACAGCUAACGUGUGUAAAGCUGCAAAGGUAUGAAAAUAUACUCAGGAUCACUAAUGACCAAAGAAAUGACAAAUAAAACUUUAAGAAUGUGUCUUUUUGUUUAGUAGGCAGACAACUUCUAAUAAUGGUUUAUAAUGUAGAACUAAAAAAUAAUGGUAUCAAAGAAAUCAUCAAUGAAAUUGUUUGACAAAAUUUCCUAGAAAUAAGGGAAACUGAGAGUUCAUUGAGUAGCCAUCAGCGUAGAUGAAAAUAGAUUCCCAUCAGCUCAUGAUCUCAGGCAAUUUCACAGCACAGGACAAAGAAAAGACACCACAAGAGCAUGUGCUGCAGAAGUGAGCGCGAGAUCCUGCCUGUGUCAGGGAGAAAGAGAAGAUGCAUCAGGGACUCUGGGCAGCUCGGCAGCAAACUGAAAGCUCGAAGAUAGCAGAGGAAUAGCCUCAAAACUAUCAGAAGGAAACUGAUUUCCAGGCUUUAAUUUUAUACCAACAAAAUCAGCUAUCAAUUGAGAUUAAGAUAGACGUUUUAAGAGUUCACAAAUUUAAUUCUGAUUUGUUUUCUCUCCCUUCUUCCUGCCCUCUCUCAUUCCUUCCCUUCUCCCCUUUCCCCUCCUUCUCCUUCUCCUUUCUUUUCUCCUGGGUAUUGAAUCCAGAGCCUUUUCCACGCUAAGAACACUCUGCCACCCUGUGCCAUCCCACCUUGAUUCUUUUUUUUCCUCAGGAGGGCUAUUGAAGGAUGUGUGCCUCAAAAACUACGGAGUAAAGCAAGAAAGAAGAGAGCUAGAAAAUGAAUCAGGGAAAGAUACUACAGUGAUGUUACAGAAAGACCCUACAAGAUAAGUCAGCUCAUAUUAGAACAGGUCAGAAACCUCUGAAAGAAAAUGCUGGGGCUGGGGAUUUAGCUCAGCGGCAUAAGCACCUGCCUUACAAGCAGGCGGUCGUGAGUUCGAUCCCUGGUACCGAUAAAAAUGAAAAAGACAAAAAAAAAAAAAAAAAAAAAAAGAAAGAAAAAGAAAAUGCUUCAUGCUUCAACAAUAUAAUUUUAUAAAUCUUUGAGCUUCCAAACAUCUUGAGAAGAAUUUAGAUGACUCUUGAAGUUGGAUCAGUAAGUGGUAAGUGUGUUGAAAAGUAAGCAGUAAGUAUUAACACAAAGGGGAAACACAAAGUUGUGCAGAAAAAGGAAUAUAAAUCAUAGCAUAACUUCUGACUCAGUUCUGAAUAAUGUCUAAAAAGUCAUCAGGAUGUAAAUACUGAAUAUUUCUAACCAAAAUUACUCUAUGAUGAUUGAGAAGAUAGGGUACUGGAAAGGACCGUGUGUAGGGUAGAGAAGAAAGUCCAAUCUUUUUUUGUUCAUGGAUGGAAAUUUAAUGUCUAAGCCAGUGGCCUCUUCUGGUUUUGGACUCUGUUGUGCUUGGAUGAGGAGUUACUAGAGGAGCUAAGAGCCUGACGGUGAGGGUGACACACUGAGAACAGCUGAUGAAAGCAGAGUUAAGGUCCUUGAUGAUUUACUACUGGAUUAACCAAGCUCAGGACUGGUCCAGCUCCAGGCCACGUGGUGGGAAGACCUCAGUGACAACACUGUGAACACCUGUGGUUUCUACCUUCAAGUGCUUUGCACACCAACUUCCCUAAGUUGGUGUAUCAUCUGAGCAAGGCAUGCAAAACUCUAGAAGCAAAGUGAACGUUAAUGAUAAGGUACACAAUUAUUAAGCACUGACAAUGUACCAUGUCUUUUAGGCUAUCUGAAGACUUUCAAACUACGUGUUACUGCCUAUGUGUUGUAAUUUCCCCCCCAAAAAACAAGGCCCCAUCAUGAAAAAUGGGGCAAGACCCCCGAGAUGAUAAAUGGGGCAAGAUGACGUCUUUUUUUUUUUCUUUUUCCUGGUACCGGGGAUCAAACUCACGACUGCCUGCUUGCAAUGCAGGCACUUAUGCCGCUGAGCUAAAUCCCCAGUCCCCGAUGAUGUCUUUUUUUAAAAGAAGCGCUUUUAUUUUAGCUGGUCCAGCAAUACAGUGCAGAUGGAAUUUGCAAAGCUGUGCAACUGAAUUAGAAUUUUGAUUGAUUUUUAUAGUUCAUUUAUGAUUAGCUCAUUGAUCAUUAAGUACAUAGUGAUGAGAAACAGAAAUAAGGUGGGCCUUUGUUCCCCUUUUCUUGAAGUCAGAGGCAUUUCACGGUGGGUGGUUAGCCAAUUCAUAGCCCUUGGUGUGCCAAUUCCAGGAACAUUUGUCUCUCAUAAAGGGAACAAUGGUUGACACAGCAUCAUUUGUCUCUUACAAGGGGAACAAAAUUUUGUUGACACAGCAAACAGGUUACUAAGGUGUGUGUGUGGGGGGGACGAUGCAUACAGAACCGCGUGACAACACAGUCAGUUACUUUAUAACAAAUUUAUAACAAUGUGGUUAGUGCUCCAGGUACAUGGUUACUAGGGUGAUCAGCAUAGAGCAUAACGCUAUGGUUUUGAAUUUUUGCAUUCACAGAACUACUGAAAGAAAAGGUGAUUUUACUGAAAAUAGCUCCUCUUGUUUGUGGUGUUGGGGGUUGAACCCACAUCCUUCACUGAGUUAUAUGGCUAGCCCAGUUUUAAUUUUUGUUUUUGAGACGGGUCUCGCUGAAUCUCUGAAUCAUCUAGGCUAGGCUUGAAUUUGUGAUUUUCUUGUCUCAGCCUUCCAAAGUGUUGGAAUUACCGUGCCGUACUACCUGGUAGAAGUUUAUACUUUAAAAAAACAGUUUUGUGAUGUGAAAAGUUAGCAUUCAACAGAAGCAUAUUAUGAUCUGCCAGUUACUUCAGAAAUACUAAAGAAAUGAGUAAAGCCAUAUAAAUUUUUAUGAAGACUUUGAAGUAGGUACAAUGGCAAAACACACAAAAAAUUGUGCUUAACCUCAUAGGAGAAAAUGCAAUAACAAUGCAGAGAGGUAGGGUUAAAAUAUAUUGAAACUUAACUUUAAAAUAAAUGCGUUAUGAUCAAAAAGUAUUGAAACUAAUUUUAUAGAUAUGUUUGCUGCUAUUGGUGAAGAUUCAAAAAAGCUCACUCAAUCUCUAAUCCUUUUCAUAAGAAUUUAAAAAGGAACUCACUUGCAAUCUAAUAUACAAUAGGCACUAUACUUGCAUUGUUUAAGGAGGUUCAUUGUUUAAUGGGGUAAUAUUACUUUCCGCAUUUAUCUUAAAUCAAGUACCUUAUACAUGUAAGAUUUGAAUCCAAAUAAGCAAAUGAAUACUUGAGUGUUUUGGAAUAGAUUUUUAUAUUAAAUAUUUCAGUGUAGGUGUGUUAGUGUGGGCGAGCCUUUUCUGAUUAUGGGCGCACAUAUUCCAGAGACCCAGAACUUUGCAUUCUUCAGAGCCCUAUUAUCUGUCCUUAUGCACAGAUGUAGUUGCCCCUAGAAUGGAUGUGCUAUGUAAAUACUGUCUUCAUUAUUGUUUUGGGAUUUUAAGGUAUUCUGUCUGGAGCAUUUCCAUGUAUUCUUCACGUCAUGAAGCCUGGUUUUGAAGCAUGUACCCAGAGACCAAGGAGCGUACCUAUCUUCCAUGCUUCUUAUGAUCUUCCAUGAGCUUGGCUAAUCAUUCAUAUGACCUCUGGGUAAGAAAGCCUUACCAGAGUGGUAAGGAGUGAGCAGGAGGAAGAAAUGUUCACACUGCACUCAGGUGUGGAGCCUGAAAAUUGUCGGAGCCAAGUACACAGGGCAAGGCCUCUCCAUACUGAACACAGAGACUUGCAGUCUAGAUUCUGUUGGUACAGUCACAGUUUACCCACCACCUUCCAAAGAUAUUUUAUUUGCUUGUCAAGGAAUUGGUGCAAAGUAGCCUGUGAACAAUAUCCAGCAUGUUUCUGAUCAACCCCCAAAUGGGACUGGAAAGCAUCAUACAAGAUUGGGCUGUCUAUAAGUGAUAUGUGAGAACACCAGCAUAGAAAGCUUUUAUGUCCAUUUCAGUUAUUUGAUCUCUGCCAGUUAAGAUGUGUAUCCUCCCUGCCCUGACAUCUGAAGUGAAAUAAACUAUCUCCAUCCCUUGGGGAAAUGGACAUGUCAAAGGAACAUGGAGACUAGAAGUGGAGAAAUGUUAACAUAAUAACAAAUAAUUAAAAAUGCAAUUUAAUAAACCAGAGCCAUGAAUUCA